rnacentral:lncRNA from 1 species
AUGUGGGUGCUGGGCUGCUCCACUUCCCAUCCAGCUCUCUGCUGUGGCCUGGGAAAGCAGUGGAAGAUGGCCCAGGUGCUUGGGCCCCUGCACCCACUUGGGAGACCAGGAAGAAGCUCCUGGCUCCUGGCUUCGGAUUGGCCCAGCUCUAGCCGUUGUGGCUAUUUGGGGAGUAAACUAGCAGAAGGAAGACCUUCUCUCUCUAAGUCUGACUUUCAAAUAAAUAAAACAAAUAUUUUUAUUAAAAAAAAAAAAGGAAGGAGACCUAUAGGAAGAGGUGGCACCAAUUGGCCGUGGGCACUUUGCGUCCUGUCGCAGUUCCUCACCUCUCGAAGGCGCGGGGACAGAGCAGGGACGAUGCGGUCACAGGGCCUGCGCCCAGCCCCGUGCUCACCUGCAGCCCAGGACGGGCUGGAGGCCUGCGCCGUGUUGUGCACCUGCGCUCGCGCGAUCCACGUGGACACCAGCCUUCGCCAGGGGAUGCUCCUGCAACCUUCCCCCGUGGCGGGGGUGUGGGCGUCCUCGCCCCAGAAUUCCUGUUGUCGGAAGUUCCAGGGAGUCAGCGGGGCCUGCUGGGUCUCGCACGCCCUGGGCAGGCCGGGCCCCUUGGCAAAAAUCUCAACCGACCUACGAAGGGCGUCUCCUCCCAGGCUGGGUCCGCAACACCUCAGGGGUGUGCGUGCCCGGUGCGCUGCGGCUCCCAGGCCACUGAGGGACGUGACAAGCGGUGUCCUUCCCCACAGCCCCGUCAUCCCCCUGGUGUCCCACGCUGUUCCGCUGAUCCCCAUGGACCCCUGCCACGCAAGGCUACUCUGCCUAGAGCGCCUAAGGCCAGGAGGGGCUCGAGCAACCGGCGCCCCCGAGCCGUGGCAGCAGCGAGACUGUCACCUGCACCCCGGGGUGAGGCUGUUGGCUAACACGGGCCCCCUGCACCCCGGGGUGAGGCUGUUGGCUAACACAGGCCCCCUGCACGCCGGGGUGAGGCUGUUGGCUAAUACAGGCCCCCUGCACCCCGGGGUGAGGCUGUUGGCUAACACAGGCCCCCUGCACGCCAGGGUGAGGCUGUUGGCUAAUACAGGCCCCCUGCACCCCGGGGUGAGGCUGUUGGCUAACACAGGCCCCCUGCACCCCGGGGUGAAGGCUGUUGGCUAA